GUUCUUUUGUGGAAAAUUUAAGGUCUAGCCUGCUCAAUGAAAUAAUUAAAUAGCCGCAGUAUUUUGACUGUGCUAAGGUAGCAUAAUCAUUAGUUUUUUAAUUGAAAACUGGAAUGAAUGGUUGGAUGAAAAAAUAACUGUCUUUAAUUAAUUAAUUAAAAUUUUAUUUUUAAGUUCAAAAGCUUAAAUGAAUUUUAAAGACGAGAAGACCCUAUAGAAUUUGAUUUAAUUUUUAAAUUUAAAUUUAAGUAUUGAUUUUUAAAUUUAUUAUUAUAUUUUAUUGGGGUGAUAGAAAAAUUUAAAUAACUUUUUACUAAUUUUACAUAUCUUUAUGGUUAGUUGAUCCAAAUUUUUUGAUUAUAAGAAAAAUUACCUUAGGGAUAACAGCGUAAUUUUAUUGGAGAGUUCUUAUUAAUAAUAAAGAUUGCGACCUCGAUGUUGGAUUAAAAUUAAUUAUUGGUGCAGAAGCUAAUAAAUUAAGUCUGUUCGACUUUUAAAAUUUUACA
rnacentral:rRNA from 1 species